rnacentral:lncRNA from 1 species
UGUCUUAUAUAUUAAAAGGUCUAAGAUAUUAUUGAAGGUUAAAUAUAUUUAACAUAAUUUCAUUUCCAUCUAUGAAUCCACAUUUUUUAUUAAUCUAUGAAUUCCACAUAGAAAACAUCUGUCACCUAUACAUGGAAAAGAACUUAAAUAUAAUCAAAGUAUCAUUGAAGGACCACUUGUUGGUUCUUUAUUUCACAUGUUUCAUGUGGAGAUUAAAAAUGGAAAGAUGG